UACGUAGGGUGCGAGCGUUGUCCGGAAUUAUUGGGCGUAAAGAGCUCGUAGGCGGCUUGUCGCGUCGACUGUGAAAUCCCGCGGCUCAACUGCGGGUCUGCAGUCGAUACGGGCAGGCUAGAGUUCGGUAGGGGAGACUGGAAUUCCUGGUGUAGCGGUGAAAUGCGCAGAUAUCAGGAGGAACACCGGUGGCGAAGGCGGGUCUCUGGGCCGAAAUUGACGCUGAGGAGCGAAAGCGUGGGGAGCAAACAGG
rnacentral:rRNA from 1 species